rnacentral:tRNA from 1 species
GGGCUUGGAUGGAGACCUGGUGGCUCUCGCGGACUUCAAAUCCGUUCUGCAGGGCGUUAAUAGCGUCCCGGGUGGGUUCGAUUCCCACACUCGCCC